rnacentral:rRNA from 1 species
UACGAAGGGGGCUAGCGUUACUCGGAAUUACUGGGCGUAAAGGGCGCGUAGGCGGCGCUCCAAGUUAGGCGUGAAAGUCCUGGGCUCAACCUGGGAACUGCGCUUAAGACUGGAGUGCUUGAGGAUGGAAGAGGGUCGUGGAAUUCCCAGUGUAGAGGUGAAAUUCGUAGAUAUCGAGAGGAACACCGGUGGCGAAGGCGGCCAACUGGACGAGUACUGACGCUGAGACACGAAAGCGUGGGGAGCAAACAGG